GACGAACGCUGGCGGCGUGCUUAACACAUGCAAGUCGAACGGAAAGGCCUCUUUCGGGGGGUACUCGAGUGGCGAACGGGUGAGUAACACGUGAGUAACCUGCCCUUGACUUUGGGAUAACUUCAGGAAACUGGGGCUAAUACCGGAUAGGAGCUCCUGCUGCAUGGUGGGGGUUGGAAAGUUUCGGCGGUUGGGGAUGGACUCGCGGCUUAUCAGCUUGUUGGUGGGGUAGUGGCUUACCAAGGCUUUGACGGGUAGCCGGCCUGAGAGGGUGACCGGCCACAUUGGGACUGAGAUACGGCCCAGACUCCUACGGGAGGCAGCGGUGGGGAAGAUUGCACAAUGGGUGGAAGCCUGAUGCAGCAACGCCGUGGGCGGGAUGACGGCCUUCGGGUUGUAAACCGCUUUCGCUCAUGACGAAGCUUUGUGUGACGGUAGUGGGUAAAGAAGCACCGGCUAACUACGUG
rnacentral:rRNA from 1 species